rnacentral:ncRNA from 1 species
GGGGAUAUGGCGAAAUUGGUAGACGCUACGGACUUAAUUGUAAUUCUAUUGAGCCUUGGUAUGGAAACCCACUAAGUGAUAACUUUCAAAUUCAGAGAAACCCUGGAAUUAAUAAAAAGGGGCAAUCCUGAGCCAAAUCCCGUUUUCUUUUCCCCGAAAACAAAGGUUCAGAAAGUGAAAACGGAUAGGUGCAGAGACUCAACGGAAGCUGUUCUAACAAAUGGAGUUGGCUGCGUUAGUAGAGAAAUCUUUCCAUCGAAAAUUAAGAAGUGAAGGAUAAACGUAUAUACAUACGUAUUGAAUACUAUAUCAAAAUCAAAUGAUUAAUGACGACCCGACUGAAUCUAUAUUUUUUACAUGAAAAACGGAAGAAUUGGUGUGAUUAGAUUCCACAUUGAAGAAAGGAUCGAAUAUUCAUUGAUCAAAUGAUUCACUCCAUAGUCUGAUAGAUCUUUUCAAGAAGUGAUUAAUCGGACGAGAAUAAAGAUAGAGUCCCAUUCUACAUGUCAAUGCCGACAACAAUGAAAUUUAUAGUAAGAGGAAAAUCCGUCGACUUUAAAAAUCGUGAGGGUUCAAGUCCCUCUAUCU